GUCGAGAAUCUUCCGCAAUGCGCGAAAGCGUGACGGAGCGACACCGCGUGAUGGAUGAAGUCCUUCGGGGCGUAAACAUCUUUUAUAAAGGAGGAAAUUUUUGACGUUACUUUAUGAAUAAGGGGCUCCCAAUCUCGUGCCAGCAGGAGCGGUAAUACGAGAGCCUCAAGCGUUAUCCGGAAUCAUUGGGCGUAAAGGGUGCGUAGGUGGUUUGAUUAGUCUCCCGUUAAAACUUCGAGCUUAACUCGAAAAGAGCGGGGGAAACGGUCAAACUAGAGUAUGUGAGAGGUGUGUGGAACUCAUGGUGUAGGGGUGAAAUCCGUUGAUAUCAUGGGGAACACCAAAAGCGAAGGCAGCACACUGACACAUCACUGACACUGAGGCACGAAACCUAAGGUAGCGAAUGGGAUUAGAAACCCUUGUAGUCC
rnacentral:rRNA from 1 species